GAGUAUUUUUUGAGUGCUUGCACUCUGGGAUACUUAGUGGCGGACGGGUGAGUAACACGUGAGCAACCUGCCUUAAAGAGGGGGAUAACGUCUGGAAACGGACGCUAAUACCGCAUAACAUAUUGAGACGGCAUCGUUUUGAUAUCAAAGGAGCAAUCCGCUUUAAGAUGGGCUCGCGCCCGAUUAGAUAGUUGGUGAGGUAAUGGCUCACCAAGUCGACGAUCGGUAGCCGGACUGAGAGGUUGAUCGGCCACAUUGGGACUGAGACACGGCCCAGACUCCUACGGGAGGCAGCAGUGGGGGAUAUUGCACAAUGGGGGAAACCCUGAUGCAGCGACGCCGCGUGGGUGAAGACGGUCUUCGGAUUGUAAAGCCCUGUUGCAGAGGACGAUAAUGACGGUACUCUGUGAGGAAGCCACGGCUAACUACGUGCCAGCAGCCGCGGUAAUACGUAGGUGGCAAGCGUUGUCCGGAAUUACUGGGUGUAAAGGGAGCGUAGGCGGGGAUUCAAGUUGGAUGUGAAAUACCGCAGCUUAACUGCGGGGCUGCAUCCAAAACUGGAUUUCUUGAGUGGAGUAGAGGUAGGCGGAAUUCCUAGUGUAGCGGUGAAAUGCGUAGAU
rnacentral:rRNA from 1 species